rnacentral:RNase_P_RNA from 1 species
GCGCUCAGGCAAUCGCUGGUAUUAUAAAAUAUUAGAGGAAAGUCCAUGCUCGCACAAUCUGAGAUGAUUGUAGUGUUUGUGCCAGUUGAAAAAAUAAAACUGGGUAACGAAAGUUAACGGCGGAAUUAUAUUCUAAGGUGUAAACUAUGAAUAUAAACCCUAAGGUGUCACAGUGACGAAGUCAAUAAGGAAACUUAUUGAGUGGAACGGAUAAACCCCGCAAGCGAGAAACCCAAAAUUGGUAGGGGAGCUAAUUAUUUCAAAAUGAAGAAAUAAUUGGACACGAAAGUGUAGAUAAAUGGUUGCCACAAGGAAACUUGGACAGAACAUGGCUUAUCGAG